rnacentral:rRNA from 1 species
AAUAAAUGCAAAAAACUAAGGGAUGCCUCAGUAACGGCGAGUGAAGCGGCAACAGCUCAAAUUUGAAAGCUGAUUUUUUUAAAGUCCGCGUUGUAAUUUGCAGAAGAUGCUUCGGGCGCAGCGCUGGUCUAAGUUCUUUGGAACGAGACGUCAUAGAGGGUGAGAAUCCCGUAUGUGACUGGUUGCUUGCGCCUGUGUGAAGCUCUUUCGACGAGUCGAGUUGUUUGGGAAUGCAGCUCCAAAUGGGUGGUGUACUUCAUCUAAAGCUAAAUAUUGGCCAGAGACCGAUAGCGCACAAGUAGAGUGAUCGAAAGAUGAAAAGCACUUUGGAAAGAGAGUUAAACAGUACGUGAAAUUGUUGAAAGGGAAGCGCUUGCAAUCAGACUUGGGCGGCGUCGAUCAGCCUGGGUUCUCCCUGGUGCACUCGACGCUGUGCAGGCCAGCAUCAGUUUCGGCGGUUGGAUAAAGGCCUGGGGAACGUGGGUCGCCUCGGCGACCGUUAUAGCCCUAGGUGCCAUGCAGCCUGCUGGGACUGAGGACCGCGCUUCGGCUAGGAUGCUGGCGUAAUGGUUGUAAGCGGCCCGUCUUGAAACACGGACCAAGGAGUCUAACAUUUGUGCGAGUGUUUGGGUGUCAAACCCAUGCGCGUAAUGAAAGUGAACGGAGGUGAGAACUCUUUAGAGUGCAUCAUCGACCGAUCCUGAUGUCUUCGGAUGGAUUUGAGUAAGAGCAUAACUGUUGGGACCCGAAAGGUACGUUCUAUCCCCUCCCCCCAUUUUUUUUUUUUAUAAGUACAAUAUACUAACAUAUCAUUACAGAUGGUGAACUAUGCCUGAAUAGGGUGAAGUCAAAGGAAACUUUGAUGGAGGCUCGCAGAGGUUCUGACGUGCAAAUCGAUCUUCAAAUUUGGGUAUAGGGGCGAAAGACUAAUCGAACCAUGGGCCUACGUUGCUAGGUGGUUGAGAGGCCUGAAGGGCCUAGUCGCUCCGGCGGCGAUACUGCAAAACUGCGGGGACUGCUCCAUAGGCGCAGGCUACCACAGCGGGCUCGAAAGGGCCCGCCACGGUUACAAGGCCUGGCGUCUGAGCUGAUCCGCAACCUUCGCCUACCGCGCUCCCUACCCGGGGGUGGCCACGGCGCAGGCUCAUCGACUAGAUGGCAGUGGGUGCGCGCGGCGGCGCCUAAGGGAUAGUCAGGUGCAGCUGCCACGCUCAGCUACGCGAAAUUGU